rnacentral:rRNA from 1 species
AACGAACGCUGGCGGCGUGCCUAACACAUGCAAGUCGAACGAGAAAGGGGCUUCGGCCCUGAGUAAAGUGGCGCACGGGUGAGUAACACGUGGGUAACCUGCCUCUGAGAUCGGGAUAACCUGUCGAAAGACGGGCUAAUACCAAAUAAGACCACGGCUUCUUCGGGAGCCGAGGUCAAAGGUAGCCUCUAUUUAUAAGCUAUCGCUCGGAGAUGGGCCCGCGCACCAUUAGCUAGUUGGGGGGUAACGGCCUACCAAGGCAAAGAUGGUUAGCUGGUCUGAGAGGAUGAUCAGCCACACUGGAACUGAGACACGGUCCAGACUCCUACGGGAGGCAGCAGUGGGGAAUAUUGCGCAAUGGGCGAAAGCCUGACGCAGCAACGCCGCGUGAGUGAUGAAGGCC